AUGUGUGUAUGGUGCAUGUAUGUUACAUGUGUGUGUGUAUUUAUGGUGCAUGCAUGUUACGAUUGUGUAUGUAUGGUGCAUGCAUGUUACGUGUGUAUGUAUCUAGUUAAGUGUGUGUGUGUGUGUGUAUGGUGCAUGCAUGUUAUGUGUGUGUGUAUGUUGCGUGCAUGUUACGUGUGUGUGUGUGUGUGUGUGUAUGGUGCAUGCAUGUUGCGUGUGUGUCUGUAUGGUGCAUGCAUGUUAUGCGUGUGUGUGUGUGUGUGUAGUGCAUGCAUGUUAUGCGUGUGUAUGUAUAGUGCAUGCAUGUUAUGUGUGUCUGUAUGGUGCGUGCAUGUUACGUGUGUGUGUAUGUAUGGUGCGUGCAUGUUAUGUGUGUGUACAUAUGGUGCAUGCAUGUUACGUGUGUGUGUCUGUAUGGUGCGUGCAUGUUGUGCAUGUGUGUGUAUGUAUGAUGCGUGCAUGUUACACGUGUGUGUGUGUGUGUGUAUAUAUAUAUAUAUAUGGUGCAUGCAUGUUACUUGUGUGCAUGGUGUUACAUGUGUGAGUCUGUAUGGUGCGUGCAUGCUACGUGUGUGUAUGUAUGGUACGUGCAUGUUACGUGUGUGUAUAUAUGUUGCAUGCAUGUUACGUGUGUGUGUCUGUAUGGUGCGUGCAUGUUAUGCGUGUGUGUGUGUGUGUGUGUGUGUGUGUGUGUGUGUGUGUGUAUGUAUGGUGCAUGCAUGUUAUGUGUGUGUGUAUGGUGCGUGCAUGUUACGUGUGUGUGUCUGUAUGGUGCGUGCAUGUUACGUGUGUGUGUGUGUGUGUGUGUGUGUAUGGUGCAUGCAUGUUACAUGUGUGUAUGGUGCGUGCAUGUUACAUGUGUGUGUAUGUAUGGUGCAGGCAUGUUACAUGUGUGUAUGUAUGGUGAAUGCAUGUUACGUGUGUGUAUAUAUUGUGCAUGCAUGUUAUGUGUUUGUGUGUAUGUAUGGUGCGUGCAUGUUACAUGUGUGUAUGUAUGGUGUGUGCAUGUUACAUGUGUGUGCAUGGUGCAUUCGUGUUACAUGUGUGUGUAUGGUGCAUGCAUGUUAUGUGUGUGUGUAUGUAUGGUGCAUGCAUGUUAUGUGUGUAUAUGUAUAG
rnacentral:lncRNA from 1 species